GGGUCAUUAGGUUGGUCGUGCCACCGGUACGUACUGGUCUCACUGAUUCCUCCUUCCUGAAGAACCGUAAUGCCAUUAAUUUGGUGUUGCGGGGAAACAGGACUGUUACUUUGAAAAAAUUAGAGUGUUUAAAGCAAGCUAACGCUUGAAUACAUUAGCAUGGAAUAAUGAAAUAGGACGUUCGAUCCUAUCUUGUUGGUUUCUAGGAUUGACGUA
rnacentral:rRNA from 1 species